GAUAGCGGCGGACGGGUGAGUAACGCGUGGGCAACCUGCCUAUAACUGGGGGAUAACACAGGGAAACUUGUGCUAAUACCGCAUAACAUCAUGAAAGGACAUCCUUUUAUGAUCAAAGGAGCAAUCCGGUGAGAGAUGGGCCCGCGUCCAAUUAGCUAGUUGGUGAUGUAACGGACCACCAAGGCGACGAUUGGUAGCCGAACUGAGAGGUUGAUCGGCCACAUUGGGACUGAGAUACGGCCCAGACUCCUACGGGAGGCAGCAGUGGGGAAUAUUGCGCAAUGGGGGAAACCCUGACGCAGCAACGCCGCGUGAGUGAAGAAGGCCUUCGGGUUGUAAAGCUCUGUCGCAGGGGAAGAAAAAAAUGACGGUACCCUGUGAGGAAGCCCCGGCUAACUACGUGCCAGCAGCCGCGGUAAUACGUAGGGGGCGAGCGUUGUCCGGAAUUACUGGGCGUAAAGGGUGCGUAGGUGGCCUAGCAAGUCAGAUGUGAAAUCCCCGGGCUUAACUCGGGGGGUGCAUUUGAAACUGCCAGGCUUGAGUGCAGGAGAGGAAAGCGGAAUUCCUAGUGUAGCGGUGAAAUGCGUAGAUAUUAGGAGGAACACCAGUGGCGAAGGCGGCUUUCUGGACUGUAACUGACACUGAGGCACGAAAGCGUGGGGAGCAAACAGGAUUAGAUACCCUGGUAGUCCACGCUGUAAACGAUGGAUACUAGGUGUGGGGGGUAUCGACCCUUCUGUGCCGCAGCUAACGCAAUAAGUAUCCCGCCUGGGGAGUACGGCCGCAAGGCUGAAACUCAAAGGAAUUGACGGGGACCCGCACAAGCAGCGGAGCAUGUGGUUUAAUUCGAAGCAACGCGAAGAACCUUACCAGGUCUUGACAUCCCUCUGACCGGUACAGAGAUGUACCUUCCCCUUCGGGGCAAGGAGACAGGUGGUGCAUGGUUGUCGUCAGCUCGUGUCGUGAGAUGUUGGGUUAAGUCCCGCAACGAGCGCAACCCUUAUCAUUAGUUGCCAGCGGGUAAUGCCGGGAACUCUAAUGAGACUGCCGGGGAUAACUCGGAGGAAGGUGGGGACGACGUCAAAUCAUCAUGCCCCUUAUGUCUUGGGCUACACACGUGCUACAAUGGCCUGAACAGAGGGGCUGCGAAGCCGCAAGGUGAAGCGAAUCCCAUAAAGCCGGUCUCAGUUCGGAUCGUGGGCUGCAACCCGCCCACGUGAAGCCGGAGUUGCUAGUAAUCGCGAAUCAGCAUGUCGCGGUGAAUGCGUUCCCGGGUCUUGUACACACCGCCCGUCACACCAUGGGAGUUGGU
rnacentral:rRNA from 1 species